CUAAGGUAGCAUAAUCAUUUGUUAUUUAAUUGGUAACUGGAAUGAAAGGUUAAACUAGCUUAUUAAGUUUGUGGGGCUAAAUAGGAGCUUAAAGUUAAGGUAAGAAUGCUUUAAUUUUUUAGGGGACGAUAAGACCCUAGAAGCUUAACGAGAGGGUUGUUUUGUUUUAUAAAUUUGUUCGUUUUACUGGGGCGGUAAAAAUAAUUAAGCUAUUUGUUAUUUAAAGGAUCCUUAAAAUAAAGAAAAAAUGGAGAAGUUACUCUAGGGAUAA
rnacentral:rRNA from 1 species